rnacentral:lncRNA from 1 species
AGAGCUUUCAGGCUUUUCUUUGCCAUGGCCCAUGAACCCUCAUGAAUAGGAAUCUCCUUUAAAUUGCCUUCCUGACGCACCGCUGAAGAGGUCGGCGUGGUCCCCGGAGCGGACCCCGUUGAGCAAUCUCUGGAGGAAGCAGCGGUGGAGUCGCUGGCGGUGUUCGAUUGGCGUGGAUGCAUGCCUGCCCUUCCUCCUCGCGGCGAUGGCGGCUGCGCGCUCUGUCGUCAGCUGCUCAGUAUUUUUUCAGUUAUAUUCCUAAUUCUCAGCCCUUCUUUUGAGACGCAGCUAGAUUCAGUCCGUGGUGGAGCCAUUGCUGCGAUUCUUUCCCAAGAGGUUUUGAUUCUGCAGGGGAGAAGAACCGUUGAGGAUGGAAGGGGACUUUCUUAGCCUAAAAGGCAGCCCCUAGCGUCCCGUGACCUUAGUGUCCAAUCGGAACAAAGGAAAACAUUCGAUAAGAAGUUUGCCAGGAGGUCAGUUACGCGGCCUCUCUCGGGCAAAUAAGGAUGUCCGGCGGCCCGCCCAGGGGUUCUCCCCGCCCCCAAGGCUCUCCGGGUCCCUCCCGCCCCGCC